CUAGGGCACAAAUAGGAACUUCUCUCAUUUCAAACACCACAACACAUACACAAAUAGCUAUUCUCUCAUUUCCAUGGUUAAACCCGUACCGAAAGCACCAAAGACCUUAAGGAACAUCGUGUCCUUCACCACCGAAACCACUGACACUCGACAGAAGAAGAAUUAAAACCUUUUCUCACUCUAAAACCUUUUUGUUUCUCUACAUUAAAGAAACCAUGUUCUUUACUUUGCUGAAACCAUUGUUCUUCACUUUACUGUGCUUUAGGUGUUGUAUUGUAUGUAUAUAUUUUUAUAUUUUCUUAUCUUAGUUGUAGAAACGAGUAUGAUUAUUUAAACCAUCAAAAGAUUGACAAAAUAUUGUGUAUUUGAGUCAAAAUCUAGUGGGUCUUAGCGAAACCCACUGGGUAUUUCAAUUUACUCUUAGUUUGGUGUAAUUUUGUUAUUUUGUUUGUUUUCAAAGUUCUGGUUCAUUGAAUUUCUUUGCAUGUGGGUUUUUAGUUUGUUCUCUUUUUUUUUUAUUUGGGUUUUCUUCCAUUGAUUUGGAUGUAUGUUUUAAACUGAGUCUUUAGAAGAAAUAAAAUGGUUUGAGAGCUUAGGAAUUAAAUUUUCUACUUGAAAAUAAUUCAUCUUAACAGGAUUGUAGUGAGAAGUUGGGUUCGAAGCUCGGUCCGUGGAAGCUGGUUGGUUCAGAAAUUACAAUUUCGGUUGAUUUAGCACUUUAAGGUAAUGGACAUUAGAAUUUAUUGAAGUUCGAUUCACUUAAGGUUCUGCAUUUUAGCUGCUGUUGAGGGACUGCUGCCUGCUAUUGAAGUUCUACUCACUUUAAGGUAAAUAGUUGAUUUGAGAUGACUCUGCUGGACGAAUGGAUACAGAGGAUUAUAUAGCUAACUUCAACUAUUUUUUAGGAUAUGGCUAGAGGCAGAGGUCGAGGUAGCGGAGGUUGUUUAGGUUUGUUAGAUAUGGGAUGCAAAACAAAGCUCAUCACUUUACAAUGGAACAAAGUUCAGGAGCCUGAACGUGACACGUGCUCCCUCAAACAUUGACAAUCACGUUGAUAGUAUUAUAUUUCGUAUUCUUGCACAUCGAUUAUUCGUAAGCGGAGGUGGGGCCCACACAUCGAGUUUUUUUUGGAACACGUGACAAGUUAUAUGAAUCACGUAUGUGAAGUUAAACACAUCUCAAGAAGGACCCUUGAGCCAAAUCAAAGUGGGAGCCCUCCAAACAAAUAUUUUUAAGUUACGUUUUUGGGUGAUCUGACUUCGGGAGGCCAUAACCCCAUCAGUGUUUGGGAAUUUGGGAAAACUCCCAGAAUUAAAGUUGUAUAUAAUUGCAUUAUCUUUCCAACCAUAGGUCGUGGGUCCAUAGGUGACGUCGGGGUAAGGAGAUACGGACGUUUUAAGGCAGAAAGGUCAGUGGGCUAGGCCCAAUCCGGGCCCAACCGGGUUAGGCCCAUGACCCAUGUCUAUUUAAGUGAAAUAUCAGCCCUUUUCUCCUCAAUUUUCAUACCAAAACACCAGAAAAUUCUGGAGAGAGAGAGAGAGAGAAGAGCCUUGGAGAGAAGAAAAACCAAUUUUGAUCAAAAUCUGAGUCCCGAAUCCCGAAUCCCGAAGCCCAUGAAGAGAAAAGUGUUGUACGCUGCGUCGUCUUCAAUUUGAGCUAAAAAUCAACCAAGGGGAAGAGUGAUAACGUGGUGGAUGCAUGCUUAAGAUUACGAGGCUACGAAUAAUUCUUAAGCGAGUUGCAAGAUGGGAAGUAAGUUGAAAGUCGGGAAUCAUCUUCCAGGUACACCCAGAUGAAUAGAAGCCAUUAUAGAGGAUGUUCCAGCAGAGUUGGCAAGCUCCAUUUGCCCCUGGAGUGUUGCCGGGUCAGAGUAUUAUGCUAUGACGUCUUGUUCGAAGUUAGAGACUUUGCAGACAGAGUCGUGGGUAUAGAAUGUCAGUCUUUAUGGUGGAUACAACUUCGAUGUAGGGAAUGAUCCCAAGCAAGAGUCUCAUAUUUCCCUUCAUCUUGGUUUGACAUAUUAUAGAACAUUCGUGUGAGCAAAUUUAAGUUCUAUGUGGGAGAGAUUUCUUGUUUCAUCUGAAGAUGAUUGUAUACAGUGUCAGCACAUAUCAAGUCCUCUUGGUAAUGGUGCAGUUGUGGAGACUUCUGACAGAAGAAUACUUGUGCUUCAGAGAAGUAAUAAAGUUGGAGAAUUCCCUGGAUAUUUUGUUUUUUCUUGGAGGCCAUCUAGAGGUAUCUCAUCUCAUGUUGUAAGUUGCUGUUGAAAAGGGUCGAGAUCCAAUACCAAGUAAGGUACAUUUGCAUGCCCAUACACAUGAUCAUGAUGGAGAAUUCAUGAUGGAGAAUCUUUUGUUGAUGAGCAUGCCCGAGCUGUCCAUGAAAGAUAUGAAGAAAUAUUACGGGAAAAAUCACAGUCUCAAUCUAAUAUUGAUCAAAGUGAAGCAUAU